GUGAGUCGGGUGUGAAAGCCCGGGGCUCAACCCCGGAAUUGCGCCCGAUACUGCGGGGAUUGAAUUCGGGAGAGGGAAGCGGAAUUCCUGGUGUAGAGGUGAAAUUCGUAGAUAUCAGGAGGAACACAGGUGGCGAAAGCGGCUUCCUGGCCCGAUAUUGACGCUCAUGUACGAGAGCGUGGGGAGCAAACAGG
rnacentral:rRNA from 1 species